rnacentral:rRNA from 1 species
GACGAACGCUGGCGGCGCGCCUAACACAUGCAAGUCGAACGAGCGAGAGAGAGCUUGCUUUCUCGAGCGAGUGGCGAACGGGUGAGUAACGCGUGAGGAACCUGCCUCAAAGAGGGGGACAACAGUUGGAAACGACUGCUAAUACCGCAUAAGCCCACGACCCGGCAUCGGGUAGAGGGAAAAGGAGCAAUCCGCUUUGAGAUGGCCUCGCGUCCGAUUAGCUAGUUGGUGAGGUAACGGCCCACCAAGGCGACGAUCGGUAGCCGGACUGAGAGGUUGAACGGCCACAGUGGGACUGAGACACGGCCCAGACUCCUACGGGAGGCAGCAGUGGGGAAUAGUGCACAAUGGGGGAAACCAUGAUGCAGCGACGCCGCGUGGAGGAAGAAGGUCUUCGGAUUGUAAACUCCUGUUGUUGAGGAAGAUAAUGACGGUACUCAACAAGGAAGUGACGGCUAACUACGUG